UAGGGAAUCUUCGGCAAUGGGGGGAACCCUGACCGAGCAACGCCGCGUGAGUGAAGAAGGUUUUCGGAUCGUAAAGCUCUGUUGUUAAGGAAGAACGAGUGUGAGAAUGGAAAGUUCAUGCUGUGACGGUACUUAACCAGAAAGGGACGGCUAACUACGUGCCAGCAGCCGCGGUAAUACGUAGGUCACGAGCGUUGUCCGGAUUUAUUGGGCGUAAAGCGAGCGCAGGCGGUUAGAAAAGUCUGAAGUGAAAGGAAGUGGCUCAACCAUUGUAGGCUUUGGAAAAUGUUUAACUUGAGUGCAGAAGGGGAGAGUGGAAUUCCAUGUGUAGCGGUGAAAUGCGUAGAUAUAUGGAGGAACACCGGUGGCGAAAGCGGGUCUCUGGUCUGUAACUGACGCUGAGGCUCGAAAGCGUGGGGAGCGAACAGG
rnacentral:rRNA from 1 species